AGUGAACGCUGGCGGUAGGCCUAACACAUGCAAGUCGAACGGCAGCACAGUAAGAGCUUGCUCUUACGGGUGGCGAGUGGCGGACGGACGAGGAAUACAUCGGAAUCUACUUUUUCGUGGGGGAUAACGUAGGGAAACUUACGCUAAUACCGCAUACGACCUACGGGUGAAAGCAGGGGAUCUUCGGACCUUGCGCGAUUGAAUGAGCCGAUGUCGGAUUAGCUAGUUGGCGGGGUAAAGGCCCACCAAGGCGACGAUCUGUAGCUGGUCUGAGAGGAUGAUCAGCCACACUGGAACUGAGACACGGUCCAGACUCCUACGGGAGGCAGCAGUGGGGAAUAUUGGACAAUGGGCGCAAGCCUGAUCCAGCCAUACCGCGUGGGUGAAGAAGGCCUUCGGGUUGUAAAGCCCUUUUGUUGGGAAAGAAAAGCAGCAGGUUAAUACCCCGCUGUUCUGACGGUACCCAAAGAAUAAGCACCGGCUAACUUCGUG
rnacentral:rRNA from 1 species